GCGCAGCUCCCCGAGGCUUGAGUCGAUGACUGUCAGUGUUGUUCCAAAUGUCAGCGUCUGUCCCGGGACUGUCUGUCACCUCCAAACGGGGCCACCCGACGCACACAAAACACCAGCCUGGCUUUUCCACACGGCAAAAAAUGAGUAAAAAAGUUCAUUAACAAGGAAAAACGUUCUACACCCGCGUCGGAGCGGGGGAAAAGACAAGCGGUGCCCUGUGAGUGACUGACGACCAGCCCAGAAUGGAACAGGAUAUCGAAAAUAUGGAUGGACAUAAUUGACCAGCAAAGAUGGAACGACCGAUAAUGGCAUUCCUGGCUGGUAUUGGCUCCCCUUGUUCAUCAUCCCGCUAUCAUAACCCUGUUGGCCAACCAUGCGAUGAGGGG